CUGUUACUCCCUCCGUUCCAAAUUACUUGUCUUGAAUUUUUCUAGAUACGGAUGUAUCUAGACUCAUUUUAGUGCUAGAUACCUUCGUAUCUAGACAAAUCUAAUACAAGUAAUUCAGAAUGGAGGGAGUAUAUG
rfam:Triticum aestivum genome assembly, contig: Triticum_aestivum_CS42_TGACv1_scaffold_217330_3AS